rnacentral:lncRNA from 1 species
GACGAGUUUGAAGUCCGAGAUCUCAUUAUGGUGUACCUUCAAAAAGUGAAAGAUCUUACAUCAAUUUUGAAAUAUUUUGAGAUCUCUCAUAUUUCAAGAGCAGAGAAUGCUUGAGCUGACAUAUUUUUUCGACUCGCAACUACAUUUAGUUCGCUUGGUCGGACGUUCAUCGAAUAUCUUGAACAAUCAAGUAUUGACAAAGUCGAAGAAGUGCUACAAAUCAAUGACGAGCUGAACUGGAUGGAUCUAAUCAUCCAAUAUUUGACUGAUGGAACUCUACUUACAGAUCUUUUAGAAGUCAAGUG